CAAUAGCGUAUAUUAAAGUUGUUGCAGUUAGAACGCUCGUAGUCGGAUUUCGGGGCGGGGCGACCGGUCUGCCGAUGGGUAUGCACUGGUCGGCGCGUCCUUCCUUCCGGAGACCGUUCCUACUCUUAACUGAGCGGGGGCGGGAGACGGAUCGUUUCCUUUGAAAAAAUCAGAGUGUUUCAAGCAGGCAGCUCGCUCUUGCAUGGAUUAGCAUGGGAUAAUGAAAUAGGACUUUGGUGCUAUUUUGUUGGUUUCGAACACCGAAGUAAUGAUUAAAAGGGACAGUCAGGGGCACUCGUAUUCCGCCGAGAGAGGUGAAAUUCUCAGACCAGCGGAAGACGAACCACUGCGAAAGCAUUUGCCAGGGAUGUUUUCACUGA
rnacentral:rRNA from 1 species